AAGAAUUGGCACAUACAUCCAAUUGUGGGAAUUUCAAGAACUGACAGUGGUAGUCAGUAUUGAGAGAAAAUAAUUGACAUAGGUAGCCAUAUUGUGAGCAUUUUUUGAACUGACAAUGGUAGUCAGUAUUGAAGGAAAAGAAUUGGCACAGGUAGCCAUGUUGUGGGUAUUUCGAGAAUUGGCAUUAGUAGCCAUGUUGUUGGUAUUUUGAGAAUUGGCAUUGGUAGUUAUAUUGUAGUGGGUGUAUUCAAG
rnacentral:lncRNA from 1 species